CUAUGUUUUUUGAACAAUAACAAUUUUUGCUGCUAAUCUGUUGCUAAGAGAUGGUUGUGUUUACUGGUAACCAAGAGCAACGAAGUGAACUUCAGAUAUUUACUUUUGCGAAAUUUGCCAACGGUAAAUGUCUUGUAUCUAAUCAGGUAACCACUCUUCACAGAGAGCUCCCGGGCAGAUGGACGCGAUGAUCACGCGCUGAAAACGGAUUUUAUACAAGGCAGCGACGCGCAAACACAAUUACGGCGAUUGGUUGAAUCACACAGUGAGCUCUGGAUGGAGUGCAGGCCUCCGUGAUUCAGCGCGGCUCCUUCCAAACACGAUGAAUGGAUACAGGCGGUGUAUGUAGGAGUUAUGGGAGCCAUAACUUCUACCAGGAAGAAUCCCCGCAGACACCUUUAUGUUCCCCAGCAAGGUGUAUGAAUGUAGAAUAACUCAUACAAAUGUGGCCGUGUUGAUUAAAGAGGAAUUAUUUGCUGCGCCGAGAACAUGGGGAGCAAGACGUUUUUUUCCCUCUUCUCUUCGGCUAGUUAAUCUUGUGCGACCGACGCUUGCCACGGGUCCA